ensembl:snRNA U6 U6 spliceosomal RNA
GUGUUUGCUUCAGCAGCACAUAUAGUAAUAUUGGAAGGAUACAGAGAAGAUUAGCAUGGCCCCUGUGCAAGGAUAGCAUGCACAUUUGUGAAGCGUUCCAUAUUUUU